rnacentral:rRNA from 1 species
UACGUAGGGUGCAAGCGUUAAUCGGAAUUACUGGGCGUAAAGCGUGCGCAGGCGGUUUUGUAAGUCUGACGUGAAAUCCCCGGGCUCAACCUGGGAACUGCAUUUGUGACUGCAAGGCUAGAGUACGGCAGAGGGGGAUGGAAUUCCGCGUGUAGCAGUGAAAUGCGUAGAUAUGCGGAGGAACACCGAUGGCGAAGGCAAUCCCCUGGGCCUGUACUGACGCUCAUGCACGAAAGCGUGGGGAGCAAACAGG